AAACAACAAAAAACAGAACGACAUUUUUUACAAGAUUAUUUCUGAUGCUCUCCGAGCAUCUCGAUUUUUCGAUCAGAUAAUCCACCGAUCGAGCAUUUAUCUGGACCGAUUUUGAUCGUUGAGAAUCCCGAUAAGACCAUCUGAAAGUAUGCAUUGGUUUCUAAUCGAUAUCUGAAAGUAGACAGCAGUCCAAAACACCGAUUAUCUUAAUCCGGGCAAGAGUUAGAUUCGCUAAUCGACCAGAAAACAAUCAAGAAUCAUCUCUAUAAGGUAUGAAGGACAUAGACUUGCACCCUGCAAGCAGUUUUGUAUGGCUUUGACAUCAUCAAGGAAAGUAAUUGACUGAGCCAUUUGUGAAGAAAAAGCAAAAAAAAAAAA